UUGGUAACCCCGAAGCCGGUGGAGUACCUUUUAUUAGGAGCUAGCCGUCGAAGGUGGGACAGAUGAUUGGGGUGAAGUCGUAACAAGGUAGCCGUAUCGGAAGGUGCGGCUGGAUCACCUCCUUUC
rnacentral:rRNA from 1 species